UCCGGUAUGGUGUAACGGCUAACAUUGCCGCCUUUCAUGUACGAUUUGCCACGUGUAACGCGGCAGCUCGGGGUUCGACUCCCCGUACCGGAA